UUUCACAUUUAUGUCAUCUAUGUUGUAAAAAUGACGCUUGUCGCCAUUUUAUAACCCAUCUAUUUCAUGUUUUAUUUACAUUUUGGUGUGUGUUUUUAGGUGUGUCUACUAACCCCUUCCUUAAUUAAUAUUGUAAUUAAUUUGGUUGUCCGUUUGUGCAGAUUGUCCAAUAAAUGAGAGAGAAUAAAGUUCAGUUUGAUCAUACUAAAACAACCAGUGACUACAUGUGUGUGGUCUUUUGCGAACUAUAUUCUUGAUUUGCUGUUUUCGUCUUCACCUUACAACAUUAUGCAGUUCAUUUUCAAGUGGCGAGUGAUAGCAGCUUGAGAUUUAUUUGAAUUCCACUGAAACAAAUUUUCUACAGUGGUAUUUCUCCUGGAUUUAGUUUGCUUUCACACCUGCAAACUUGGAAACGUUACAGUCUACAGUUAAUUAAGGUCGACAGUGGAGAAGACAAAGAAGACCCCAUGUCUCUAUCUUGCAAGUCGUUUUUUAUUAGAAUGCAUUUUUUAUUGUGUAGUUCAUUUUAUUUAAAUUAAUUUUUAUUUUGCAUGCUUAUUUUUGUUCAUUUUGUUUGAAGUAAUUAUUGAUUUUAGAUGUUUUUAUUUUUUUUUUUGUAUGUAGUAAUAGUAGUACUAACUUGUUUAGUAGUAGUUGUAGCAUAGUCCAACAUGUCUCUUGCUUACAUCUCUUCUCUUAGCUUACUGCUUA